CCGGUCACGCUGAGCCACCACCGGCCAAAACACCAACCCCAAUUCUCCCGUUCCAUUCUCACUUCGACGGCUUCGAUUCAUUCGAUUUCUUGCAUUGUCAUGGACACCCCUUUUCGAUGAAGAACAAACUCCAUCAUAAAUUCGAUCGAUUUGGAUGCCCCUUUUCGACCAGUGGUCGAAUUCGCAUCGUCGUGGGAGGGUCGUAGGUAAAAAAAAAAAAACCCUACUUUUAUUGGUUCCAAAAACCCUAGAUUUUGCUCUGUUGUUGAAAUCUCUGCGUGGAGACUCUCCAUCGGAGCGCACGAAACCCUAGGUUUCCUGGCCACCGGGUUUUGCGGUCAAGAAGCUAGAGGCGGAGAUGAUUUUCCUACUUCAAGCCCCUGCCACGAGCGGGCGACUGACUCAUCUUCAUGGAGUUGGACGAGCACGAGAACAAGGAGAUUAUCAAAUGGUCUUGCAGAAAAGAGGAAAGAAACGGAGAGGCUCGAAAGGAUAAACAGGCAGGGAUGAGGAGCUACAAGAGUUUGAUGUUCCAGAGAAGAUGAUGACAUCUAAUGAACAACUUGCUUCCACUAGUAAAUCCCUGCAAGAACUUGAAGAUGACACAACUUCAUGUGAGCAUCAUACAAGUUAUCUGAUGGUUGGUAAAGAUGGUCAAGCUUUCAAGAAUCUGCUUGAUGACAAUGGUAAGAUAAAAUUGUGAUACGGGUUGUUACAGGACCUUUAUUCAAUUACAAAUGAUGUUUCAUUGUGAAAUGCGAUUAAAAAAAAGGAAUGGAACCAUAUAUCAGUUAUCCACAAAUGUAUCUCAUGAUAUGAAUGUUAUAUACUGCAAUUCAGUCU